CUGUUUCCCAAUUGUCCAAUCGCAGUUGACAUCACAGUCACUGUGUGAAGCGGGCAUGUGAGUGCCCUGUCUCUACUGUCGACCUCCACCCAAGGACAGGAGUGGCUUGGGGCUGAGAGACAAGUAUAGGUGAUGCAGUUGGUAGAAGAAGGAACUUUGAUCUGAGGAGGCUCUUUCUCUGGUGCUGGCUCUGGCUGCAGAGCAGGCCCAUGGUGUUCUGGACAUGGAGCCGGAGCUAGGAGGAGGAAAGCUCAGCAGUGUCAGUCACUUGCCAGUUCCCUGCGGAGCAUAGAAAAGACAUCCUGGCCAUUUGGGGGAUUCCAAUGCCCAACCAAAAGCCAUGAAAGCCUUCCAGACUGCUGUGGCCCUCACCAUCUGUUUCAGCCUCGUGGGGCUCUAGAUAUUCCACCUGAGCAAGGGGAAGGCACAAGGGAGGCUCCAUGUCUGCUCCAGGCUUCCCUUGGGCCAUAGCAGCUCUCAGAUGAUUUCCCAAGAUGAGAAGAUAUGCAUUUCCAUCAUUUCAAAUAACAUUCUUCACAUUUGUUCUGAUUGGCCUUUUGUAAAUGAUUUAUUCAUAACCAACCUGUAUAACCAUGGAAAUGACUGUUCUUAUUUGGUUAAAUCCGAAAAAAUCCACUCCUGAAAGUACAGAUUGGAGGUCUUGGGUUGAAGGUGGAGGUGUUUUCCCAAAAGAAGCUGGGAUGUUCCUACAACUAUGCAUGACAAAAAGUGUCUUUUACAGGGUUCCAACUGUCCCUGGGCAUAAAUGUAUACAUCCCAUCCUCUUCCUUAGAGAAUAUGUUGCCUAAAUCCUCACCCAAUACAGUCCCUUAGACUGUUGAAUUAUUAAAGUAGAAGAGGUGUCUGAUUUGGGAGAUGUUUCUGAGAAUCUCUAGGACCUCUUGGCUACAUAUGGACAAGGAGUAAAUUAAAGACCCCUGAGGUUUCUAGCUGGAGGUUCUGGGUGGGUAGUAAGACUGCCAACUGGUAGAGGGAAUUUCAUAAGAGCAAGGCAGGUGUAAAGUUAAAGAGAUUGAUAUUUGACAUGCUGUAAUAAAAGACCCUAUGGAGAUUCCAUGGGGAACAGGAACCAAAAAAAAAAAAAAGGCCCUUAACUGCAAUGAGGGAAAAGGUAUCUUUAUAGUGGAGAAAGCUGGAAGACACCACCUCAACCCAAUGAUUAGUCAACACCAAGUCCUAUGACAUGCCUUCUGAGACAACACAGCCACAGGGAUGCAAACCUUAUCACGUAUGAACUUCUACCACCAAUUCAUAACCUGAUUUUGAGAUAUCAGGAGAUAACACAGAAUAGAUGGACACAUUAUACAAAACAACCACGCUGUCUUCUUAAAAAAUGUCAAUGCCAGACCUGGGGAUUUAGCUCAGUGGUAGAGCACUGGCCUAGCAUGGAUGAAGCUCUGGGUUGGAUCCCAAAUGCUACAAAACAACCUCAAAAUGUGAAUGUCAUUAAAGACAAACUGAAAAACUGAUUAUGGCAGCACAACUCAUAAGAGAGAAAUCUUCUAAGCAGCCUUUAUGUCCAUCAAGGCAUGAAUGGAUAUAGAAAAUAUGGUCUUUACACAAGUGGGGUAUUAUUACUAUGUCAUAUAUAAGGAUUAUCUUGAAGGAAACUUGGUAGGAAAUUUGUAGGAAAAUAGAUGCACCUUGAGACCAUAAUGUUAAGUGAAAUAAAUCAGACACACAAGCUUAAAUAUGACAUGGUUUCUCUUAUAUAAGAAACCCAAAAUAUAAAUAAAGAGGAAAAUAAAAUAAAAAUCAGAGAGAUAGAUCUUUUGCAAAAGGGAAGGGGACCAAGAGAUGAAUGGAGGAGAAAAAGGAUGAAGGGAAAGGAAUGGAAAAAGAAUUAAGAUGUGUUAUGUACAUGUACCAACUCCCCACGAGGAAUUCAAUCAUUAUGUACUGCAAUAAUGUACUAAUAAAACUUAAUAAAGAAAAAUGAAAAAUGACACGAUAGCAAAUUGCAGUGUGUGGUCCUGGGUGGGGUCUUGGAUCAGGCAGAUAAACUGCCAUAAAAAAUCCCCACUAUUGAAGUUCUCUUACAGCCUAGUUGAACUUGUAGGACUCUAGGCGUUGAUGUCAAGGCAUUUUUUUGCGCCUCCUUCAGUACUACUUCCUGCACAUGCGCACUCUUAGGUACCUGCGCAACAAUGGGCGUGCGUCGUAAGAACAUCCGGGCAUCACAGGUGUCGUAAGAACAUCCGGGCAACUUCCCAACUGGCGCGCACUUGGCGACCGUUAGCAGUACCUUCCCGAGCGGCUGCGGUGCCUGACUGCGGCGGUGGAGUCUCAGUCCUGGGAGAGGUUUCUAAAACUGACAGGGGUGCCUAUAAUCCUAGAAUCAAGAGGCUGAGACAGGAGGAUUUUGGAGAGUGCAGCGCCAGUCUGAGCGACAUAUUACCUUAAGUUUGGGUUACUGACCCUGAGAUACCAGAUCCCAGGGCAGUUUACGUAGGAAGUGACCCACAAAACACUGGAGAGGAGAAAACAAAAACAACAAAACUAAAAUCCGUGAAUGAAAGGGAACAUGUAGUGUUCCCUUCCUGUGUCCUCAGGGUGAUAAGGAAGACUGAAGAAGGAAAAUCUACCUACUGCAGGUAGGUUUAGAAGGUAUCUAAAAGUGAUAGCUAUUUUUGUUAAAUUAAUAGACUGGU
rnacentral:lncRNA from 1 species